rnacentral:rRNA from 1 species
AGCAGUCGCGCGGUAAUACGGAGGGUGCAAGCGUUAAUCGGAAUUACUGGGCGUAAAGCGCACGCAGGCGGUCUGACAAGUCAGAUGUGAAAUCCCCGGGCUUAACCUGGGAACUGCAUUUGAAACUGUCAGGCUGGAGUCUUGUAGAGGGGGGUGGAAUUCCAGGUGUAGCGGUGAAAUGCGUAGAGAUCUGGAGGAAUACCGGUGGCGAAGGCGGCCCCCUGGACAAAGACUGACGCUCAGGUGCGAAAGCGUGGGGAGCAAACAGGAUUAGAUACCCCUGUAGUCCCUGUCUCUUAUACA